rnacentral:misc_RNA from 1 species
GAACGCAUAUUGCACUCUCUGGCAAUCCGGAGAGUAUGCCUGUUUGAGGGUCAGUAAAUAACAAAUUAUCACAAUCGUUGGUUGUGGAAUUGGGCCCUUAUUUCGAACAGACUUAUGGCCUUAAAUUUACGCCAUGCGCUUAAUUCGAACCAAGCGGAGCAAUUAAACAUUCUCUCGUUAUACGGAUUAAUCGCAAGCGUCACGAUCCUUUGGACGACGAAAAGCGCUUUCGCGAGCGCGAAGCCCAAGAUCGUAAAUCAAUUAUUGACAAAUGACCUCAAAUCAGGCAAGAAUACCCGCUGAACUUAAG